rnacentral:rRNA from 1 species
UACGAAGGGGGCUAGCGUUGCUCGGAAUUACUGGGCGUAAAGCGCACGUAGGCGGCUUUCUAAGUCGGGGGUGAAAUCCUGGAGCUCAACUCCAGAACUGCCUUCGAUACUGGAGAGCUCGAGUCCGGGAGAGGUGAGUGGAACUGCGAGUGUAGAGGUGAAAUUCGUAGAUAUCAGGAGGAAUACCGAUGGCGAAGGCAGGUCUCUGGGCUAUAACUGACGCUCAUGCACGAAGGCGUGGGGAGCAAACAGG